UGGCUUCAUCGUGUAUGAUACGAGCGGGAAUCUCAUCUUCAGAGUAGAUGAGAUUUUCUCUCGUAUCGUACACAGUGAAGCUA
rnacentral:pre_miRNA from 1 species